rnacentral:rRNA from 1 species
UACGAAGGGGGCUAGCGUUGUUCGGAAUCACUGGGCGUAAAGGGCGCGUAGGCGGCUUUAUAAGUCGGGGUGAAAGCCUGUGGCUCAACCACAGAAUUGCCUUCGAUACUGUAGAGCUUGAGACCGGAAGAGGUAAGUGGAACUGCGAGUGUAGAGGUGAAAUUCGUAGAUAUUCGCAAGAACACCAGUGGCGAAGGCGGCUCACUGGCCCGAUACUGACGCUGAGGCACGAAAGCGUGGGGAGCAAACAGG